UCGCGUAUGCGUACUGUCAGAUUUCUCUUUGGCUGUCGUCUUUUUCUUUUAAAUAUUGACAAUUAAUUUUUUCCUACUUUCUAGUUGUCUCGUUUAGUGAUAUUAACGUAUUGUAUUGUUGGAUUUGACUUCAAACUAUGAAAACUUAGUAAACAUUGUAAAAAUGUGUUAAAUAUUCAUUUUGAUAAGUUGAAACGAAUACUUUUGUUUAUUUUAUUCUAUUCAUAGCAAAUGGCUCAUGUAAUUUGCAUAUGUCAAAUAAGUUUUAAAUUGUGAAAUAUUUAAUGAAAAAUUGAUAAAUAUAAAAGUUGCGUAGUUUUAAAUUUCUGAUAUAUUUUGAGGUUAACUUUAUUUCUUUCAAUGAAAUCGUAUAUUUUAUUCGUUGUGCACGAAAAAAUAAAAAAAAAUAUUAUUUCAAGUAAAAAAUAUUAACCUAUAUUGAUAAUUUAUAACAAUAAUAAUAAAAAAAUAUAUUUUUACGAUGAUUAUUUCAAUUUUUAAUUUAAUAAAUGAUUUUGUUUUGAAUAUAUAUAUAGAAAUAGUAGUUGUAGAAAAUUCUUCAGGAUCGAGAACUUUCGUAACUUUAUUUCAGUUUACGUUUCGCAAUUAAUCGUGUUGAUCAAACGUGGAAACGAAAAUGAGAGAUUGUUGAUUAAUCAGCGAAAUCGCGAGUGAUUGAGUAACCGAAAGAGUAUUAACACAAAUCAUAUAAUGUAAUUCUUCUCUGGAUGCAAAUUGCAGAAAUAAAAUUAUUUCAUAAUUUACUUGUAAAGAUUUUUAUGAAACUUUUAUGAAAUUAACUUUUAUAUCAUAAUCUUUUCAAAAUGCAUUCCCUUAUAUUUAUUUCUAUUAAAUUCAAAACAAAUUUAAGAAAUUUAAUAAAAAAAUUUUAAGAAUAAAUUUAUAUCAUUAUAAAAUUCUUUUAAAUUAUUUUUUAUCUAGGAAAAUUUUGAAUCACAAAUAUAACAAAGAUUUUCUUUGAAGAGUUUCGAAGAUUCGAAUUUCUUAAUAAAAACCAUCAUAUCUUCAUUUAUAGCAUGCUUUUAUCAACCUAUCUUUCAUCCAUGAAUACUACGUAAAUAGAUUUUCACUUUAAAUGCAGAUCAAUCUUAAUUAACUCGUUUCGAUUUUCUUAAUUACUCAGAUAUAUGAUUGCAUAUAUUCAUUAAGGAGUUUUCUAAUGAUCUGUAAGUUUUUAUAAUUCUUUUUUUUUAAUCAUCAUGCUCAUAGAAACAUAUACAAAAGACACAAGAAUAAAUACAAAUAUAUAUUUUGAAUAUUAAUGCACAUAUAAUUUAAAAAAAAUAUGCAUAACAAAGAAAACUUGGAAGAAGACUUACCAGGCGUGAGAGACAUAGUCUGCUGCCUUCUCGACCUCGAAUUGUCCCGUUUUCCAUUGGAAGACUGAGAUCCCGAGACUUGGAGUCCUGGAGCACUGACCGCACGUUUUGGUCCACCCAAUACACCAGGAACGUUGCUGUUCCUCGCGAAUCCUGGAGGACGAUAUCUGGCCGAUUUCACGCCAGAAUGUUGAGGCAAAAAAUGAUAGACACUGUGCGCUUUGUGCAUUGUCGUUGAUGGCGUGGUUGACGUCGUCGUUAAACCGGAAGGUGCAGUGGAUGCUGGUAAACGAGGUAAAGAAUUGGUAGCAGCAGUGAUGGCAGAUUGCAUUCCGCGUGGAAGAGUCGUUGCUCGAGAUUCACCACUGUAUUCGAGCUCGUCUUCAGUGUCCUCGUCACCUGUAGACGUAUCUGUUAAUAUAUUGAUUUGCAUUUUUAUUCGAUUGACGUUUGGUGACUCUGAUGAUCCAGAAAAUAUUCUUUUGAGUUUUCAAUAAAAUUUGGAAUUCUAAAUAUAAAUAUAUUCUAUAGAAUCUAAUGAUUUCAAGGUAUUGGAUCAAGAAAUUUUUUAAAAUUUAUUACUUCAAGUAUUCUAUUGUAUAUCGUAUAUAACUUUAAUCCUAAAAAAGAGGAUUUAAAUCCUUCAUGGAUUUUAAGAAGUAAUUGAAAUAUUUAGAACUAAGAUCAAUAUUAAACAAUUUACAAUAUUAUUCAAUAUUAAAAAAAUUUAAUUAAUCAUAUUAUAUUCUUAAAGAUACAUUCUUUUCGUAUGCAGAUAAAUCUUCGUGAUAUCAUACAUUCCAAUCCUCAUUUAUAUUCUCAGAAUUAUUUUCACUCGCAAUCAAUACUCUAAACAUUCGCUCAGCUCAAUUAUUCUUUAUCCAUGUUGCAUCCACGUCAUUCAUUACGAUAUACAAUUCAAUUUACACUUACAUCAGUUUUAUUUUUUAUAAUAGAGUGAUAUUAUGCACAAAAAAAUAUUUAAAAAAUUAAAAUGUAAACAAAAGAAUUAGAAUCAAAAAGAAAAUGUUGGAAAUGGAAGUAAAACAGAAUUAAUAAUACACAUGGUUAAAAAUGAUUUAAUCUUGAAAUAGAUUACUUUCAAAAUAAUAGAUAAAAUCAGAACAGAAAUUAUUUCUAUUAUGUCAUUAGCAUAAUUACAUAUUUCUUAACUCCUCAAAAGAAAUCUACAUAUAUAUAGGAAUUUUAUGUUUAUUUUAAAGUAUUAUAUAAGAAUUUAAAAAUGCAAUUUACGAUUAUGUAACAAUUUAUUAAA